rnacentral:lncRNA from 1 species
CAACUGGGUGGUUCCUCUCUGCACCGUCUUCCCCUUCCCAUUAAUGAAAACGUUCCAGCCUCCUUAAUUUUUCCCAGCAGCCAAUGUUAAAUAGAAAGCCCUCCAAAAUCCUCCAAACAACGUUCCAAAAGUUCCAAAGAAAAAAAAAAGAGUGGCGACUUGUAGCUUUUAAUGAAAACUAGCACCAAAUGUUUUUCCAAGAAAGCAAAUUCUCCACGGCUCUUAUCAAUUGAAAUGGAAGGAGCUCUUAUAAAUCAUUGGCAGCUGCAGCCCUUGCGUAAAAUAAAGGAAAAAAAAUGAACAAUUUUUAUUCAAUCAUGCCAAAAACCCAAGAACUACAUUGCUUCC